UGGGGAAUUUUGGGCAAUGGGCGCAAGCCUGACCCAGCGACGCCGCGUGGAGGAUGAAGGCCUUCGGGUUGUAAACUCCUGUCAGGUGGGAAGAAAUCUCUGCCGGUGAAUAUCCGGCAGCGUUGACGGUACCACCAAAGGAAGCCCCGGCUAACUCCGUGCCAGCAGCCGCGGUAAUACGGAGGGGGCAAGCGUUAUUCGGAUUUACUGGGCGUAAAGCGCACGUAGGCGGCAUUGCAAGUCGUAGGUGAAAGCCCUCGGCUCAACCGAGGAAUUGCCUUCGAAACUGCGCUGCUUGAGUCCGGGAGGGGGGAGCGGAAUUCCCAGUGUAGCGGUGAAAUGCGUAGAUACUGGGAGGAACACCGGUGGCGAAGGCGGCUCCCUGGACCGGUACUGACGCUGAGGUGCGAAAGCGUGGGUAGCAAACAGG
rnacentral:rRNA from 1 species